GAUGAACGCUGGCGGCGUGCUUAACACAUGCAAGUCGAACGAUGAAGCCCAGCUUGCUGGGUGGAUUAGUGGCGAACGGGUGAGUAACACGUGAGUAACCUGCCCUUAACUCUGGGAUAAGCCUGGGAAACUGGGUCUAAUACCGGAUAGGAGCGYCYACCGCAUGGUGGGUGUUGGAAAGAUUUAUCGGUUUUGGAUGGACUCGCGGCCUAUCAGCUUGUUGGUGAGGUAAUGGCUCACCAAGGCGACGACGGGUAGCCGGCCUGAGAGGGUGACCGGCCACACUGGGACUGAGACACGGCCCAGACUCCUACGGGAGGCAGCAGUGGGGAAUAUUGCACAAUGGGCGCAAGCCUGAUGCAGCGACGCCGCGUGAGGGAUGACGGCCUUCGGGUUGUAAACCUCUUUCAGUAGGGAAGAAGCGAAAGUGACGGUACCUGCAGAAGAAGCACCGGCUAACUACGUGCCAGCAGCCGCGGUAAUACRUAGGGUGCGAGCGUUAUCCGGAAUUAUUGGGCGUAAAGAGCUCGUAGGCGGUUUGUCGCGUCUGUCGUGAAAGUCCGGGGCUUAACCCCGGAUCUGCGGUGGGUACGGGCAGACUAGAGUGCAGUAGGGGAGACUGGAAUUCCUGGUGUAGCGGUGGAAUGCGCAGAUAUCAGGAGGAACACCGAUGGCGAAGGCAGGUCUCUGGGCUGUAACUGACGCUGAGGAGCGAAAGCAUGGGGAGCGAACAGGAUUAGAUACCCUGGUAGUCCAUGCCGUAAACGUUGGGCACUAGGUGUGGGGACCAUUCCACGGUUUCCGCGCCGCAG
rnacentral:rRNA from 1 species